UACGGGGGGGGCAAGCGUUGUUCGGAAUUACUGGGCGUAAAGGGCUCGUAGGUGGCCAACUAAGUCAGACGUGAAAAUCCCUCGGCUUAACCGGGGAACUGCGUCUGAUACUGGAUGGCUAGAGUUUGGGAGAGGGAUGCGGAAUUCCAGGUGUAGCGGUGAAAUGCGUAGAUAUCUGGAGGAACACCGGUGGCGAAGGCGGCAUCCUGGACCAACACCGACGCUGAGGAGCGAAAGCCAGGGGAGCAAACGGG
rnacentral:rRNA from 1 species